rnacentral:rRNA from 1 species
AUAAGGAUUGACAGAUUGAGAGCUCUUUCUUGAUUUUGUGGGUGGUGGUGCAUGGCCGUUCUUAGUUGGUGGAGUGAUUUGUCUGCUUAAUUGCGAUAACGAACGAGACCUUAGCCUGCUAAAUAGCCCGGCCCGCUUUGGCGGGUCGCCGGCUUCUUAGAGGGACUAUCGGCUCAAGCCGAUGGAAGUCUGAGGCAAUAACAGGUCUGUGAUGCCCUUAGAUGUUCUGGGCCGCACGCGCGCUACACUGACAGAGCCAACGAGUUCAUCACCUUGUCCGAAAGGUUUGGGUAAUCUUGUUAAACUCUGUUCGUGCUGGGGGAUAGAGCAUUGCACANUAUUGGUNUUCAAACGAGGGAUGCCUAGUAAGNGCAAGUCAUCAGNCUGCGKUGAUUACGUCCCUGCCCUUUGUACACACCGCCCGUCGCUACUACCGAUUGAAUGGCUCAGUGAGGCCUUCGGACUGGCCCAGGGAGGUYGGCAACGACCACCCAGAGCCGGAAAGUUGGUCAAACUCGGUCAUUUAGAGGAUGUAAAAGUCGUAACAAGGUUUCCGUAGGUGAACCUGCGGAAGGAUCAUUA